rnacentral:pre_miRNA from 1 species
UAUAUACUCCCUUCCUCCGGAAUUACUUUCGUACAAAUGGAUAAAAAUGGAUGUAUCUAGAAGUAAAAUACAUCUAGAUGCAUUCAUUUCUUCGACAAGUAUUUCCGACCAGAGGGAGUAUGCU